AUGCAUGCCGUGCCACAUAACAUCGAAUGAAAUCAAAAUGGAGUGAAUCUGACGCAAGUUUAGGCGUUUUAAAAGCGUUUUAACAGCGCUGUUUCUUAAACAGAUCUUGUGGCUGUUGUUGCUGACGUAUGGGAAGCAAGUAACGAGUGAAGAAGUUAGUGAAAAGUCUCACAUUCACUUCUAUUCUCAGUGAGCACUCAAUGAACACGAAUCUAAAGCAUUACCAAUCCGUCCGGCGUCAAGGAUCGCGCACGGUAUACAACCAGAAGAAAACUGCGCCUUAACACAAUGCGCAUGUACAUAUGCUGAGGACGAGGACAGCCAAGCAGUCCAUUCAGAGUCAACAAUAUAUCGGAGGGAAAUAUCGUCUCUAUCUUCAGGGUCGAAGAAUAUGCCGAACAAGAAACCAACGUGAACGCAGAGGUUCGUUCACCUACCCUGAAUAUGGGACAUGUUCCUCCGCAACGUCGGCUAAUUUUCAACGGACUACAUGACGUUACAUUCCAGAAGAUAGGACUCUUUGUAACCACCGGUGUCAGAACCUCAGACCCUGCAACCACAUCCGUUAAUUGUCCGGGAUAUAUUUGCUUUGCAAGGUUAUGUUUUCUCAGAUAUGACAUCGUGCAGUCUUGUAGAUAAUUAUUAAAGUUUCCGGUAAAUUUCCUUCCUGUAUAUUCAAGGAAUAAGAUCAAAAAUAUUGAUCUAUGCUAAGAAUGGUGGCGGUAAGUUACUUCGAAACAAUGACCCUCCUAUUCGUAAGGUGCUUGGUUCGAAUUUCCGUCGUGACACCUGCUGCUCUAAGGUCCUUCGUGGGGAUCCUCAGUCUCUCCCGUGUUUGGAUUAUGGAGUCUUGUAUAAGAAAAGUAAUUUAGGGAGUUACAAUGUAGACUUUCUGUAUGGGAACACUCGUUAAGUUACAUUAGUAGGCAAAUAUACAGUAUUACACUAACUACUGUAAGUACUCGCAUAUUUGUACUCUGAAGUUACGAGUUUUUGUUUCACUUUCGAAUAAAAGCAGGCUUCAGUUC